CCGCACGGGUGAGUAACACGUAUCCAACCUGCCGUCUACUCUUGGACAGCCUUCUGAAAGGAAGAUUAAUACAAGAUGGCAUCAUGAGUCCGCAUGUUCACAUGAUUAAAGGUAUUCCGGUAGACGAUGGGGAUGUGUUCCAUUAGAUAGUAGGCGGGGUAACGGCCCACCUAGUCUUCGAUGGAUAGGGGUUCUGAGAGGAAGGUCCCCCACAUUGGAACUGAGACACGGUCCAA
rnacentral:rRNA from 1 species